GAUGAACGCUGGCGGCGUGCUUAACACAUGCAAGUCGAACGGGAUCCCAGGAGCUUGCUCCUGGGUGAGAGUGGCGAACGGGUGAGUAAUGCGUGACCGACCUGCCCCAUACACCGGAAUAGCUCCUGGAAACGGGUGGUAAUGCCGGAUGCUCCGACAUGACGCAUGUCGUGUCGGGAAAGAUUCUAUCGGUAUGGGAUGGGGUCGCGUCCUAUCAGCUUGAUGGCGGGGUAACGGCCCACCAUGGCUUCGACGGGUAGCCGGCCUGAGAGGGCGACCGGCCACAUUGGGACUGAGAUACGGCCCAGACUCCUACGGGAGGCAGCAGUGGGGAAUAUUGCACAAUGGGCGCAAGCCUGAUGCAGCGACGCCGCGUGCGGGAUGACGGCCUUCGGGUUGUAAACCGCUUUUGACUGGGAGCAAGCCCUUCGGGGUGAG
rnacentral:rRNA from 1 species